AAGGACAUGGAGACAAUUACAAUGCCAAUCCACAAUUAAUUAGAGCUAUUUUGGAUACCCAGUUGAAUGCACCUUUAUUUAACCUAUCAGGAGAAGAAAAGUUAAGAAGAUCGCCACAAAUUUCUGGCAUCCUGAACCCAACCACAUGUAUAAAUGUUAAUGACGUUAUUAUGUUUAUUGCUUCAAAACACAAUUUCCCCAUGUACGAUGUGAACAAUUUAUACAACUCAAACCCUCAUUUUGACUGGGGGAAAUUUCGAGAAAUCGCAGAGAAGUUAUUGCUCUCCUCGAAGCCUUUUCUUUAUUUCAUGUAUCAGUUCCAGGAGCCAGGAGUCUAUGUCAUAAAGCUAAGCAGCAACCAUUAUAAA